UAUCCGUAGGUGAACCUGCGGAAGGAUCAUUAUUGUAUAACCGAGGUGCGAGGGCUGUCGCUGACCCGAAAGGUCGUGCACGCCCGAGUGCCCUCACACACAUCCCUCUCACCCCUAUGUGCACCACCGCGUGGGUCCCCCUUUGGCUUGUUCGGAGGGGGGCUUACGUUUUCACACUAACUUUGUAUGCAGUGUAGAAUGUAUUUUUUGUUUUUGCGAUCACGCAAUCAAUACAACUUUCAACAACGGAUCUCUUGGCUCUC
rnacentral:misc_RNA from 1 species